rnacentral:rRNA from 1 species
GGACUACUGGGGUUUCUAAUCCUGUUUGCUCCCCACGCUUUCGCGCCUGAGCGUCAGCCGUCGGCCAGGGCACUGCCUUCGCCAUUGGUGUUCCUCCGGAUCUCUACGCAUUUCACCGCUCCACCCGGAAUUCCAUGCCCCUCUCCGACGCUCAAGCCUGCCCGUCUGAAUGGACCUCUCCCAGUUAAGCCGAGAGCUUUCACCACCCACGCGGCAGGCCGCCUGCGCGCCCUUUACGCCCAGUAACUCCGGACAACGCUCGUCUCCUACGUAUUACCGCGGCUGCUGGCAC